GUUAAAACUCAAAUGAAUUGACGGGGGCCCGCACAAGCGGUGGAGCAUGUGGUUUAAUUCGAUGCAACGCGAAGAACCUUACCUACUCUUGACAUCCAGAGAACUUAGCAGAGAUGCUUUGGUGCCUUCGGGAACUCUGAGACAGGUGCUGCAUGGCUGUCG
rnacentral:rRNA from 1 species